AGGACGAACGCUGGCGGCGCGCUUAACACAUGCAAGUCGAGCGAGAACCCUUCCUUCGGGAUUGGGGACAGCGGCGAACGGGUGAGUAACACGUGGGUAAUCUGCCCUUGACAUCGGGAUAGCCCGGGGAAACCCGGAUUAAUACCGAAUAGCCUCCGGAGCCCUUGGGCGCCGAAGAAAAGGUAGCUUCGGCCUCUGGUCAAGGAUGAGCCCGCGGCGGAUUAGCUUGUUGGCGGGGUAAUGGCCCACCAAGGCGACGAUCCGUAGCUGGUCUGAGAGGACGAUCAGCCACACUGGGACUGAGACACGGCCCAUACUCCUACGGGAGGCAGCAGUGGGGGAAUCUUGCGCAAAUGCGGGAAACCGUGACGCAGCGACGCCGCGUGGGGGAAGAAGGCCUCGGGUUGUAACCUCAUUCAGGAGGGACGAAGCUACUCGGGUUAAUAGCCCAGAGGGUGACGGUACCUUCAGAAGAAGCCCGGCUAACUACGUGCCAGCAGCCGC
rnacentral:rRNA from 1 species